UCAGAUUGAACGCUGGCGGCAGGCCUAACACAUGCMAGUCGAACGGAAACAUGUCUAGCUUGCUAGAUGAUGUCGAGUGGCGGACGGGUGAGUAAUGCUUGGGAACUUGCCUUUGCGAGGGGGAUAACAGUUGGAAACGACUGCUAAUACCGCAUAAUGUCUUCGGACCAAACGGGGCUUAGGCUCCGGCGCAAAGAGAGGCCCAAGUGAGAUUAGCUAGUUGGUGAGGUAAAGGCUCACCAAGGCAACGAUCUCUAGCUGUUCUGAGAGGAAGAUCAGCCACACUGGGACUGAGACACGGCCCAGACUCCUACGGGAGGCAGCMGUGGGGAAUAUUGCMCMAUGGGGGAAACCCUGAUGCAGCCAUGCCGCGUGUGUGAAGAAGGCCUUCSGGUUGUWAAGCACUUUCAGUUGUGAGGAAAAGUUAGUAGUUAAUACCUGCUAGCCGUG
rnacentral:rRNA from 1 species